UGUUGGUAGCAUUCAAAACAACAUAGCAAGUUAAAAUAAGGCUUUGUCCGUUCUCAACUUUUAGUGACGCUGUUUCGGCGUUUUUUUU
rnacentral:sRNA from 1 species